CUGACAUUCUUUCUGGAUCCAAUUUUGCUGUGUACCUAACUAACCCAGUAGCAUUCGGAUCACCUCAUGUCACACAUCAACCCUGUUGGUCAAUGAAUGUGUUAUAGGAGUGGAUCAGAGUCCAGAGAGUAGCUUCUGAGACAUCCAAGAUCAACAUCCUGGAGCACAGAACCGGACCAGGACACACAGAGAGCAGUAGAACUAUAAACAGUUUAUUAAAAAAGAAAGGGAUGUUGUUGAGAAUGGAAGUGGAACCGGUCUGAGUCACCAAGUGUCAUCAGAGUCUCCGUCCUUUACAAGUCAUGAGUGUGAUCUUCUGGCAUUUAGAGGUUUUGUGCAGGAGACUUCAGCUUCCAUGAACUCAUGAGGGCAGAGGUUCUACCAUGCUCAGAAGACACUGUUUUACUGUGGUGCUACCUGACUUCUGGCUCCUACAACCUUGCUGUUCCCUCUUCUGAAAUGGUGUCUGAGCACUAAGCUCAGUCCCGCCUGCCAAGAGCAGCUCAGACAUUCAUCUGCAUGCUUUCCUUCAACUGAGGCUCCCGGAGGCUGUGGCCGAACUGCAGAAAAGCCAACAAUAAUGACAAGAAGGCAGAAGGCGAAAACACGAUCAGAGAGCCUGCUCCCUAAUUUGGGGUUUUGUGGUCUUCUUUAGAUCCUCGACCUAAUCAAAUCCAAACAAGAGCAGCAACUCCAAGUGUGGCAGGGGUGUGUACGUCUUUUUCUUUACAUUAUCUUUGUUCACAUAUUGAGGGCUACGGAAGGCAAGACUCAGCAAGGCCCUGUUUUAUAGCGUGUUUCACGCUUAUCGGUAAUUUUUUCCCUCUGACCUUCUGCCUCAGACAAUUAAUUUUCUUGAACUGCUCGCACACUGGAAGAACAUGGUGGGAGGGGGUGGACGAUGUUGGCACUGGUGAAAAUAAUCCAGGCAGCAGAGUUGUGCAAUUAUUCAAACACCUAAUCUUAUCUCUUGUUUCAUUUUUAUAUCACAAGUGCACGUUUAGAAGUAUUAGAUGGACCGGGAUGCUGUCGCACACCUCUGAAGCCCAGUAAAUAAAUGCCGCUAAGUGCCACCAGGAGCGAAAGGGCUCGUAAUGAGCAGUGCGCGGCUGAUAUGGGCUUCAUUCAUCAUUCUGUUCAGACCAAUAUUGAGGCUCUUGUUAUCAGCAGGAUUCGUGGCGAUGUCAUCGCGCUGGGCAUAAAUCUUCUGUCAGUGUGGCGCAGCCUGAUGCCCUAUUAAAAGUCUGCCUUCACCUAAUCACAAAAUGACCUUUCAAUGUCUUUAAUUAACCUCUGACCCCAACCAUGCCAAUGUCUUGUAGGUAGGUAAAUCUAUGGCAUGACAUUUGCUUGGGGCACUCCAUCUGUCUUGGUUCAAUCAUUGUCCCCUUCCGAUUAUGGCUUAAAGGAAAUACAGUUGGGACUCCUCUUAAUAGUUGGAUUAAUCUUUAAAAGGUUAGAACAUAAUAUUUUCCUCUGAGCUCCCAGCAGUGGCUUUGCAGCUAUUUUCCCCUUGGGAGUUAGACUCCCCCACUAAAGUAAGUUUAGGUAAAGCCCUCAGUUUCAGCAAUAAUAUCCUCUUUCCCACCCAAAGUUAUUUCUCUUGAGUGGUUUGGGAGCCAGAGACACUCUGACUGGACCAGAGGACAGAAGCCUUAAAACACAACCUCUCCUCAUAUGCCCGAGACAAUGGGAUGGACCAGUGGUGUGGAAAUAAAAGAAAGAUAAGAGAAUAGGGAUUUCAUCUUAAUUUAGGAUCGAGGUGAUCUACGCUGCACUGUACGUACCCAUUUGGCCCUGAGACCACUUUAGGUAACAGAACAGCAAUCCUGUCUCAUUUUCUAUGAAGUAAAAUGCCACCAGGGACUCCUAUGUGAAUUUGUGAAUAUUACAAAUGUAAAAUAGUUACAAACAAAUACAAUUUCCUUACAUAAAAUCUAGCCACAGAUUGAUCAGAGUGCUGACUCCUUUAAAUGUGAUAGUUUGUUUCACAUGGCAGGUUGUAAUUGGUCUAUAAAUCACACCAAACUGAAUAAAACAAGAGUUUGGAGGAAUCUAAACUGCGCCCAAUUUCAUACUCAAGCAGAAGCCUGCAAGAGCUUAGAUUGGCUAUCUCUGAGGUCUUUCUCCAUUAUAAAAGUCCAUGAGUCAGGAUGGUGGGAUUACAAACUCUGGGUUAUUGGAUCUGAGUUUAAAAAGUUUCCUGCCUUUUAACUGCUGUUUCUUAGUAGACUGCAAAUCCUCACUUGCCAGCUUGCUCUGCAGAGCCCUUGUAGGCACUAUGCCAAUCCAAGAUUUACAGGAGUGCUGGGGAUUUGAACUCUGGCCCUCUUGCCUGUAUUAGUAAGUACCUUAACCACUGAGCCAUUUCCCCAGCCCAUGUUAUUUUUUUAUCUUAAAUUUAAUAAGUAGUAUGGGAUAGUCACACCUUGAGAUUUGUGUUGGGAAAUGCUUAGUUUGAUAACCAUAUGAAGAACGGAUGAGAAUAAGACAGGGAGAUUCGAGGAGAAGCUAAUUCCAACACCUUGUAUUAUAUAAAACCCCUUGAGAGUGAUCUCCCCAGAAAUAAGGCCACUCUAGACCUUUCUUUGGACUCCAUAAAAAGUUAUAUUUUUGUCUCUUUGUGGGCACCAAAAUGGUAAGGGGUGAAAGACCCUUGUGUUCCCCAAAAUGCUUAUCACUUUUUAGGACCAAGAGGCGGUCCAAAGACCUCUCUGCUUCUAUGUCAUUCCUGCUGGGACCACAAGAGAAUAAGACUGUAACAUCUAGCCCAACAUCUGCCCUCA